rnacentral:rRNA from 1 species
UACGGGGGGAGCAAACGUUGUUCGGAAUCACUGGGCGUAAAGGGCGUGUAGGCGGCUGAAUAAGUGGGAUGUUAAAUCCCCCGGCUCAACCGGGGACCUGCAUCUCAUACUGUUCAGCUCGAGCACAUCAGAGGAGACUGGAAUUCCCGGUGUAGCGGUGAAAUGCGCAGAUAUCAGGAGGAACACCAAUGGCGAAGGCAGCUCGCUGGGACGUGACUGACGCUGAGACGCGAAAGCGUGGGGAGCAAACAGG